rnacentral:rRNA from 1 species
UGCCAGAGCCAUAUCUCCCUGCAGCUCUCGGCUAGUUUCUCACUGAAGCUAAGCAGGGUUGAGCCUGGCCAGUACCUGGAUGGGAGACCUCCUGGGGAAAACUACGGCUGCCAGCAG